ACGAACGCUGGCGGCGUGCUUAACACAUGCAAGUCGAACGGAAAGGCCCUGCUUUUGUGGGGUGCUCGAGUGGCGAACGGGUGAGUAACACGUGAGUAACCUGCCCUUGACUUUGGGAUAACUUCAGGAAACUGGGGCUAAUACCGGAUAGGAGCUCCUGCUGCAUGGUGGGGGUUGGAAAGUUUCGGCGGUUGGGGAUGGACUCGCGGCUUAUCAGCCUGUUGGUGGGGUAGUGGCUUACCAAGGCUUUGACGGGUAGCCGGCCUGAGAGGGUGACCGGCCACAUUGGGACUGAGAUACGGCCCAGACUCCUACGGGAGGCAGCAGUGGGGAAUAUUGCACAAUGGGCGGAAGCCUGAUGCAGCAACGCCGCGUGCGGGAUGACGGCCUUCGGGUUGUAAACCGCUUUCGCCUGUGACGAAGCGUGAGUGACGGUAAUGGGUAAAGAAGCACCGGCUAACUACGUG
rnacentral:rRNA from 1 species